UUGAAAUCGAAUGGAAAAUUCCCAUCCAACUUGGCAAUUUGCCGACGCCAAGUGAGCAAAUCCGAUGACGUAUUUAUUACCUUCAGUAAAUCUCUAUAGUAUGAGCCAAGUAAAAUGGUGAUUUUAGUUCCAGAACUGAAGGAAGAAUGAGUUGCUAUGAGACUAAUAAAUAUGUAAUAGAGAAAAUUUGCUUUGUUUCCGAUCGCAUACUGUUCAUGUGUUCACUGAAUACAGUUGGGUGCCCGCAAUAUAGUCUGCUGAGGUCUGUAGUCACCUUUGCUCGAACCUUUACUCCAUAAUAUUAACAUUAUACUUCUUAUAGAUGCUAAUGAUUUUUUUUAUUAUAUUAAUUGCAAUAUUUGUACAUAAUUUAUUUCCAUAUUAUUUACUUUAAAUACGCAUGAAAAGUCUGUUCCCCAACAAUGUCAUGCCUUUCGUGUUUGCUUCACCUGAGGAACAUUUUAAUCUGUACUAACAUUUAACUUAGUCCUAAUAAUUGAUAAAUAUUGAUUUAUGCCAUUAACUUUUUUUAAUGGAUCUUUCCUUAAUAUCACACUGGUUGUUGUUCAACACAAUGUACAUACAUUUCCGUCUUAACAACUUAGCAUAGUAAUUAUCUGUGAUUUGUUGAGGUCUUUGCGAUUGCCUUUGGUGAUUGAUUAGCCGUCUUUGAACUGGUGCCUCGUGAAGCUAAUAUGUUGCUGUUUGCUGAUAUAUGGUUGUUAUCGGCAUCUACCUGCUUUGCUGGCCUUCCAACUCGAUCGACAUGAAAAAUUUCCCAAUUGCGUUUUACGUACGGUAUCAUGAAUGCCAUAUCAAUGUUUAAUUUACAACACAAAUCUACUAAUGAACUUUUUUACUUCCAGUUAAGACUAGCUGUGACCACACUUUAUAGCCCACUACUAUCUCAUUGACUCAGUGAAAUUUAUAAAUAAUAUCGUGUGACUGCUGAUAAGAAAAGUAGUGAUAUCUGCUUUACAAAAUAAAAAUGUAUGGUAAAUACCAAAAUUCUUUAAACGUUUUCAUAGUUAUUCUACGUUAGUGAUUUCGAAUUACCACAAUAAAAUUACAAAAAUCUAUGGAAUAUCUGAAUAUGAUGAUAUAGGCCAUCUGAGCUGCAAUAAUUACCAGUGUCCAACGAAAUGUUUCUAUUACAAAACUAAUCAAUUUUCGACUAAUGUUUAACAAUAUAAUGCAGACUCAAAAUUUUAACAAUAAUAUAUAUCUCAUAUUUGUAAAACACGUAUUUUUAGAUUUUAGAUUUCCUGUUGUUUAAACAUUCAAAUAAAGACCGACAAAAUUGACGUCAAUCUACAAAGAUACCGAUUUAUAGAAAAUGCAGAAAAGUUUGCGGAAAGAAAAGAAUGUUCAACACAAUCAAUAAACGAAAUCAUAAACUUAGCAAAAGUGUUUUCAAUUUGAGUAAAUCAACACAGGCCGAUAAGCUGAAGCUCCUCGAAACAUUUAAAUUGUUUUCCAAGCCUCUAGUAGUGCUACUUUUGUUGUAUUGAACUCAAAAUGGUCUCGCUCAUUACCUACAUGAAUACUACAGUGACUUCCAGGCUGCAACUUUCAGUUUCAUCAACAAUUUUCACUUUUUUACAAGAACUAAUUUCGGGAAUGUUCCCAAGGAUUGUGGCUAUUUUAUCAAAAAUGUAUGAAAACGCUAUUUCUUGUCACAGUACGCCAAAUGACUACCACAUUAAAAUAUUGCUUAUUAUUGUUGUUGUUUCACACAAUAACUUGGAGAGAAAAAAAAGAGAAAGAAAGAAAGUAAAUUUGCAAUUAAAUAUGUUUUCGAAUGUUCCAAGUAAUCCCGAAAACCUAUAAAAAGAAGUGAGAUUAAUUUGGAAUCAUCCAUUUGAUAAUUUCAGUUAUAGAUGGAGGAAAGAAGGGAGCAAAAUGGUUAGAGGGUAUUAAAUCAACGUUAAUAAAUGGCAACUUCCAGAAAUCACUGCUUGACUUGAAAGUAUAUUGGGUAUCAAAUGAUAAAAUCAGGUCUGUAUUUAUUAUUAAUUUGUAACUUAUCAAAAAAAUUUAGAAAUCUUAAACAUCCUUAAAACGAUACCCAGAGCUUUUCAAUAAAAUUGUAACAAAAAAACUCCUAACAUUUGUUCAUUUUUUUAACAGAUUAAUAUGAUCAGAAAUUUGAGGUUUAAUUAUUAUUGAAAUGAGUCUCUUAUGAGGUUAACCCAAACAAAACAACCAGGACAAAAUAUUUUGGAAAUGUUGCCUUUUAGAUUUUCAGUUAAACACUGAAGAACAUCCAUUCAAACGAUGUAACACCCUUGAGUAAUAUACAUAUACACUUUAUUACAAAGAAACACACUGUUUGAUUGGAUUUUUGUAUAGUGACUGUGAUGGAUUUAAAGUUAUAUUUUACUUAAAUAGAAAUUA